rnacentral:rRNA from 1 species
GUGGGGAAUAUUGGACAAUGGGCGAAAGCCUGAUCCAGCCAUGCCGCGUGUGUGAAGAAGGUCUUCGGAUUGUAAAGCACUUUAAGUUGGGAGGAAGGGCAGUAAGUUAAUACCUUGCUGUUUUGACGUUACCGACAGAAUAAGCACCGGCUAACUUCGUGCCAGCAGCCGUGGUAAUACGUAGGGUGCGAGCGUUAAUCGGAAUUACUGGGCGUAAAGCGUGCGCAGGCGGCUCUGCAAGACAGAUGUGAAAGCCCCGGGCUCAACCUGGGAACUGCCUCCAAAACUGCAUGACUAGAGUACGGUAGAGGGUAGUGGAAUGUCCUGUGUAGCGGUGAAAUGCGUAGAUAUAGGAAGGAACACCAGUGGCGAAGGCGACUACCUGGACUGAUACUGACACUGAGGUGCGAAAGCGUGGGGAGCAAACAGGAUUAGAUACCCUAGUAGUCC